GAUGAACGCUGGCGGCGUGCCUAAUACAUGCAAGUCGAACGAACAGAUAAGGAGCUUGCUCCUUUGACGUUAGCGGCGGACGGGUGAGUAACACGUGGGUAACCUACCUAUAAGACUGGGAUAACUUCGGGAAACCGGAGCUAAUACCGGAUAACAUUUGGAACCGCAUGGUUCUAAAGUGAAAGAUGGUUUUGCUAUCACUUAUAGAUGGACCCGCGCCGUAUUAGCUAGUUGGUCAGGUAACGGCUUACCAAGGCAACGAUACGUAGCCGACCUGAGAGGGUGAUCGGCCACACUGGAACUGAGACACGGUCCAGACUCCUACGGGAGGCAGCAGUAGGGAAUCUUCCGCAAUGGGCGAAAGCCUGACGGAGCAACGCCGCGUGAGUGAUGAAGGGUUUCGGCUCGUAAAACUCUGUUAUUAGGGAAGAACAAACGUGUAAGUAACUGUGCACGUCUUGACGGUACCUAAUCAGAAAGCCACGGCUAACUACGUG
rnacentral:rRNA from 1 species